GAUGAAGAACGUAGCGAAAUGCGAUAAGUAAUGUGAAUUGCAGAAUUCAGUGAAUCAUCGAAUCUUUGAACGCACAUUGCGCCCGCCAGUAUUCUGGCGGGCAUGCCUGUUCGAGCGUCAUUUCAACCAUCAAGCCCCCGGCUUGUGUUGGGGACCUGCGGCUGCCGCAGGCCCUGAAACCAGUGGCGGGCUCGCUAGUCACUCCGAGCGUAGUAAUACAUCUCGCUCAGGGCGUGCUGCGGGUUCCGGCCGUUAAAAAAGCCUUAUUUACCCAAGGUUGACCUCGGAUCAGGUAGGAAGACCCGCUGAACUUAAGCAUAUCAAUAAGCGGAGGA
rnacentral:misc_RNA from 1 species